AUGUCUUCUCGUAGUGAGGUUCUCUCUAUUUAUAAGCGUUUUGCUGCCAUGAUCCACACUCAGUUCUCUACACCUAUUUGUGUAUUUCGUGCUGAUUCUGCGGGCGAAUUUAUCUGCAAAAUGUUGCUUGGUUUUCUUGCCGAGCAAGGUACUAUUGCUCAGUUCUCAUGUCCUGGUGCUCACGCUCAGAAUGGUGUGGCUGAGCGCAAACAUCGUCACCUUCUUGAGACAGCUCGUGCAAUGAUGACUGCCGCCUCUCUUCCACCUCAUUUUUGGGCUGAGGCUGUCUCCACGGCCACAUAUCUCAUAAACAUUCAACCAUCAUAUGCUCUGCAGGGUCAUAUUCCUCUAGAGCGUCUUUUUGAUCGUCCUCCUGAUUAUUCGGCGCUUCGGUUGUUCGUUGUGUUUGCUAUGUUCUCCUUGCGCCCCGAGAACGCACCAAACUAA
rnacentral:rRNA from 1 species